rfam:Gossypium raimondii Chr06_contig_416, whole genome shotgun sequence.
UGUUACAAUUUUAUCUAUUUAUAUUAUUAAAAAUUGACAUGCUUGACAAAAUAACCUGUUAAUGACACGUUGUGUGCCACGUGUACCUCAUGAUGACGUAUAGGGACCAGUUUUUAACUAUAGAAAUGGAUGGAUGAAAUUUUUAACG